ACAACUUUAUUCUGCCCUCUUUCGAAAGUGUGGGCGUGAAGGGUGGGGGAGUGGUGUGGCAUGUUGCAGCGUGUUCUCGUGGAAAUCUUGCGUGCAGGUGUAGGUCACAUAGAGAAUAGAUAGGGCCAAGGUGGGACUCUGGUUAUAGAGGUCAGAGUAUGAGGGAGAGGUUUGGAUCGGACUUCUGGACCAUGGAUGUGGCAAGAUGCUUGGGGCUCUCUGAAUACUCAGCUCCCGUCUGUUCCCCAGCCAUUCUUCUGGUUUUGUUGGGGCACCACAACUAGGUGUCGGCGGGUUAGAUGGAGGCAGUUGCAUUAUAAGCAACUUAGAAACGUUCCGCAGGACCCUACAGCCCUCACCUUGCUCCCUGCGGUGUCCUCGGAAGCCGUAUGUCUCAGGUGAGGUAGCUGCAACAUGGAAGCAGCCUGUGCCUCAAAUCAUCACGGCAAGGACCGUCCCUAAGAGCUACCUGACCCUCACGGGACUGUGACAUAUGAGGGAGAAACAAGCUUUUGUUGUGCUGACACACUGCGAAUUGGCAGGACAUCAUUGCUUCAGGCUUGCCAUCCCUUACUGCCCGGGUCAGAAUCCAGGGCCCACGCUACGGCCAGAAUCCUGGGCGGAGGUGUGGGCAGAGGACAUCUACGCGGCACAGGGAGCCUAGAGCUCAAGUUCCAGUGGACCGUGCAGAGCCAGUCACGGGAUCAGAAUCAGAGGGAUCCUCAAGCAACAUCACUCCCCAUGUAAUGGGAGAGAGAUCCCUCUCUCUCUCUUUUUAAAAAAUAGGAACAGCUCCUUCUAUGGAAUACUCGGUGAAAUCUCCAUCCAUCCACCUGAAGUUUUACCAUAAGGAAGACAAAUUGAAACACAGGAAGCUGAUUUCAGAAACUUAGUUUGAAGCAGUCAUUCUCAUGUGGUUGGGAUCCAACCUGCAUCUCCUGUACCUUCUGCCUCUACUGCCUCAGGUAAUGAAUGACUCCUUGACACGAGUUAGCUCCUCAGCCUGAAAAGAGGGCCACCUGUGGUCUCCAUGCUUUACUUUCUCGCCAGCAAAGCUUGUCUGGACAUACUUCAGGAGGAUUUCCCAUGAAGACUGAAAUUGAAUUGGAUUUCUGAUGGACACUGGGCGGGUGAAAUCUCUCUCUCUCUCUCACGGGGUUUAGAUUCAGGUAGACUGGAGUUUGAAUCCCAACUCAGGUAUUCACCUUGACAUUUUGAGUAAGUGGGUCAUUACUGCCAUUCUCAACGAUUCAUCUACCUGGCUCAGAAGGUGGUUUUGAGGUGUAAAUAUUGUCAUGUAUUUUCACAAAUCUUCAGAGGAAGCCGCUAUGGCCGGACCCACACGGCUUAAUCAAGUGAUGAGCGAGAGAAAGCCCAGACCAGGGCAAAGAGAGGCAGAUAGAAAUAUGCAUUACGUGAUUACAUUAACUGGAAUGUUCUUAUGCAGUAAGAACUAAUUUGGAAAAAGACUGGCUUCAUGGUUUUCCAAGACACAAGAUAGUUAAGCGGGUUAUAUAGCAUUGAAAGACUUUAGAGGUAAAUGGAGAAGAAAAACAUUUAGAAAGUUUUGUUUUAAUUUCCAAAUGAUUUGCAGUACCACUUGCAAAUAAUUGCGAUGUUCAUUAUAAAAAAUAACCUUACUUUUUGAUUAAAACAGGUCAAGGGGGCACCUGGGUGGCUCAGUCGGUUGAGCGUUCGACUUUGGCUCAGGUCCUGAUCUCACUGUUCGUGAGUUCGAGCCCCAAGUGUUGGGCUCUCUCGCGGUUUGUG